CGACUAGUUGCAUGCUGUAGACCCGAAACCGGGUGACCUAUCCAUGGCCAGGUUGAAGCGAGGGUAAAACCUCGUGGAGGACCGAACCACGUUGCUGUUGAAAAAGCAUGGGAUGAGCUGUGGAUAGCGGAGAAAUUCCAAUCGAACUCGGAUAUAGCUGGUUCUCCUCGAAAUAGCUUUAGGGCUAGCGUCGGAAAAUGUGAGUAGUGGAGGUAGAGCACUGAAUAGGCUAGGGGGCAUAGCGCUUACCGAACCUUAUCAAACUCCGAAUGCCACAUACUAUCAGUCCGGCAGUCAGACUAUGAAAGAUAAGUUCCAUGGUCAAAAGGGAAACAGCCCAGAUCGUCAGCUAAGGUCCCAAAGUGUAAGUUAAGUGGAAAAGGAUGUGGGAUUUCUAAGACAACUAGGAUGUUGGCUUAGAAGCAGCCACUCAUUAAAAGAGUGCGUAAUAGCUCACUAGUCAAGAGAUUCUGCGCCGAAAAUGUCCGGGGCUCAAACUUACCACCGAAGCUACGGGUUCACGUGUAUAACGUGAGCGGUAGAGGAGCGUCGUAAUCAGGCUGAAGUCGUACCGUAAGGAGCGGUGGACUGAUUACGAGUGAGAAUGUUGGCAUUAGUAGCGAGAUGUAGGCGAGAAUCCUACAGGCCGAAUAUCUAAGGUUUCCUGAGUAAAGUUUGUCUUCUCAGGGUUAGUCGGGACCUAAGGCGAGGCCGAAAGGCGUAGUCGAUGGACAAUUGGUUGAUAUUCCAAUACCACUAUAAUCGUUAUUAUCGAUGGUGUGACGGAGAAGGAUAGGAUGUGCUAGCUAUUGGAUGCUAGUCUAAGCGUUUAGGGAGUUGGGAUUGGCAAAUCCGUUCCAACAAUUCUGAGGCGUGAUGGGGAAGGUUCUACGGAACCGAAGUAUCUGAUUCCAUGCUUCCAAGAAAAGCAUCUAGAGAGAGAAGUAGUGCCCGUACCGCAAACCGACACAGGUAGAUGAGGAGAGAAUCCUAAGGCCGACGGAAUAAUUGCAGUUAAGGAACUAGGCAAAUUGACCCCGUAACUUCGGGAGAAGGGGUGCCUGAGAAAUCAGGCCGCAGAGAAUAGGCACAAGCAACUGUUUAACAAAAACACAGGUCUCUGCUAAAGCGAAAGCUGAUGUAUAGGGGCUGACGCCUGCCCGGUGCUGGAAGGUUAAGGGGAACACUUAGCGAAAUAUCGCGAAGGUGUGAACUUAAGCCCCAGUAAACGGCGGCCGUAACUAUAACGGUCCUAAGGUAGCGAAAUUCCUUGUCAGGUAAGUUCUGACCCGCACGAAUGGCGUAAUGACUUGUGCACUGUCUCAACUGCAAAUCCGGCGAAGUUGUAGUGCGAGUGAAGAUGCUCGCUACCCGCGAUUGGACGGAAAGACCCCGUAGAGCUUUACUGUAGCUUAGCAUUGAAUUUCGGUAUUGUCUGUACAGGAUAGGUGGGAGACUGGGAAACUAGGGCGUCAGCCUUGGUGGAGUCGUUGUUGGGAUACCACCCUGAUAGUAUUGAAGUUCUAACUGGAUGCCAUGAAACUGGUGACAGGACAUUGUUAGGUGGGCAGUUUGACUGGGGCGGUCGCCUCCUAAAAUGUAACGGAGGCGCCCAAAGGUUCCCUCAGAACGGUCGGAAAUCGUUCGAAGAGUGUAAAGGCAGAAGGGAGCCUGACUGCGACACCUACAAGUGGAGCAGGGACGAAAGUCGGGCUUAGUGAUCCGAUGGUACCUCGUGGGAGGGCCAUCGCUCAACGGAUAAAAGCUACCUCGGGGAUAACAGGCUGAUCUCCCCCAAGAGUUCACAUCGACGGGGAGGUUUGGCACCUCGAUGUCGGCUCGUCGCAUCCUGGGGCUGAAGUAGGUCCCAAGGGUUGGGCUGUUCGCCCAUUAAAGCGGCACGCGAGCUGGGUUCAGAACGUCGUGAGACAGUUCGGUCCCUAUCCGUCGCGGGCGUAGGAAAUUUGAGAGGAGCUGUCCUUAGUACGAGAGGACCGGGAUGGACUGACCUAUGGUGUACCAGUUGUUUCGCCAGAAGCAUAGCUGGGUAGCUAAGUCGGGAAGGGAUAAACGCUGAAAGCAUCUAAGUGUGAAGCCCACCUCAAGAUGAGAUUUCCCAUAGCAUAAGCUAGUAAGACCCCUUGAAGACUACGAGGUUGAUAGGUCAGAGGUGUAAGUGCGGCAACGUAUUUAGCUGACUGAUACUAAUAGGUCGAGGGCUUGACCAA
rnacentral:rRNA from 1 species